rnacentral:rRNA from 1 species
UGGGGAAUAUUGGACAAUGGGCGAAAGCCUGAUCCAGCCAUGCCGCGUGUGUGAAGAAGGUCUCCGGAUUGUAAAGCACUUUAAGUUGGGAGGAAGGGCAGUAAGCGAAUACCUUGCUGUUUUGACGUUACCGACAGAAUAAGCACCGGCUAACUCUGUGCCAGCAGCCGCGGUAAUACAGAGGGUGCAAGCGUUAAUCGGAAUUACUGGGCGUAAAGCGCGCGUAGGUGGUUCGUUAAGUUGAAUGUGAAAGCCCCGGGCUCAACCUGGGAACUGCAUCCAAAACUGGCGAGCUAGAGUAGGGCAGAGGGUGGUGGAAUUUCCUGUGUAGCGGUGAAAGGCGUAGAUAUAGGAAGGAACACCAGUGGCGAAGGCGACCACCUGGGCUCAUACUGACACUGAGGUGCGAAAGCGUGGGGAGCAAACAGG